rnacentral:tRNA from 1 species
GCUCUCGUAGUGUAGUGGUUAUCACGUCUGCUUUACACGCAGAAGGUCCCAGGUUCGAGCCUCGGCGAGAGCA